rnacentral:rRNA from 1 species
UACGUAGGGCGCAAGCGUUGUCCGGAUUUAUUGGGCGUAAAGCGCGUGUAGGCGGUCAGGUAGGUCCGUUGUGAAAACUCGAGGCUCAACCUCGAGACGCCGAUGGAAACCAUCUGACUAGAGUCCGGAAGAGGAGAGUGGAAUUCCUGGUGUAGCGGUGAAAUGCGCAGAUAUCAGGAAGAACACCCGUGGCGAAGGCGGCUCUCUAGUACGGUACUGACGCUGAGACGCGAAAGCGUGGGGAGCGAACAGG